AGAGUUUGAUCAUGGCUCAGGAUGAAUGUUGGCGGCGUGCCUAAAGUAUGCAAGUCGAACGGUCUUUGUGUUUUCGCAAGAAGGUAUAAAGAUAGUGGCGAACGGCUUAGUAACGCGUGGGAACUUACCCUCAAGUCGAGGACAACUAACCGAAAGGAUAGUUAAUCCUGGAUGUGGUCUGCGGAUCAAAGAUGCAAAUCGCUUGAGGAUAGGCCUGCGUCCUAUCAGGUAGUUGGUGGGGUAAACGCUCACCAAGCCUAUGACGGGUAGCUGGUCUGAGAGGAUGGUCAGCAAGAAUGGGACUGAGAUACGGCCCAUACUCCUACGGGAGGCAGCAAUUAGGAAUUUUGCGCAAUGGACGAAAGUCUGACGCAGCGACGCCGCGUGAAGGAUGAAGGUAUUCGUAUUGUAAACUUCUUUUAUGUGGGAACAAGUUCUGAGGGUACCACAUGAAUAAGGUGCUGCAAACUACGUGCCAGAAGCAUCGGUGAUACGUAGGCACCAAACAUUAUCCGGAAUUACUGGGCGUAAAGAGAUGCAUAGGCGUUUUGAUAAGUCUGGUGUGAAAGCCCAUGGCUCAACCAUGGAAUCGCAUUAGAAACUAUCAAAAUCGAGUAAGAUAGGGGGAAAUGGAACUUCUAGUGUAGCAGUGAAAUGCGUUGAUAUUAGAAGGAACACCAAUGGCGAAGGCAAUUUCCUGGAUCUUUACUGACGCUAAGGCUCGAAAGUGUGGGGAGCAAAACGGAUUAGAUACCCGUGUAGUCCACACUGUAAACAAUCUCUGCUAGUUGUCGGGGCGAUGUCCUUCGGUGCCGAAGCUAACGCAUUAAGUAUCCCGCCUGGGGAGUACGGUCGCAAGGCUGAAUACUAAAUGAAUUGACGG
rnacentral:rRNA from 1 species